rnacentral:rRNA from 1 species
GACGAACGCUGGCGGCGUGCUUAACACAUGCAAGUCGAGCGGUAAGGCCCUUUCGGGGGUACACGAGCGGCGAACGGGUGAGUAACACGUGGGUGACCUGCCUUUAGCUCUGGGAUAAGCCUGGGAAACCGGGUCUAAUACCGGAUAUGACUCCGCGGCGCAUGUUGUGGGGUGGAAAGCCUUGUGCGGCUGGAGAUGGGCCCGCGGCCUAUCAGCUUGUUGGUGGGGUGAUGGCCUACCAAGGCGACGACGGGUAGCCGGCCUGAGAGGGCGACCGGCCACACUGGGACUGAGACACGGCCCAGACUCCUACGGGAGGCAGCAGUGGGGAAUCUUGCGCAAUGGGCGAAAGCCUGACGCAGCGACGCCGCGUGAGGGAUGAC